rnacentral:rRNA from 1 species
UAAUCUUGCGACCGUACUCCCCAGGCGGGGUACUUAUUGCGUUAGCUGCGACACCAAGAAGACAAGCUUCCCGACGUCUAGUACCCAUCGUUUAGGGCGUGGACUACCAGGGUAUCUAAUCCUGUUUGCUACCCACGCUUUCGUACCUCAGUGUCAGUGUUGGUCCAGAUAGCCGCCUUCGCCACUGACGUUCCUCCCGAUAUCUACGCAUUUCACCGCUACACCGGGAAUUCCACUAUCCUCUACCACACUCGAGUCUGCCAGUAUCAAGCGCAGUUCCCGGGUUGAGCCCGAGGAUUUCACACCUGACUUAACAAACCACCUACGCACGCUUUACGCCCAGUAAUUCCGAUUAACGCUCGCACCCUCUGUAUUACCGCGGCUGCUGGCACAGAGUUAGCCGGUGCUUCUUCUUUGGGUACCAUCAGGGACGGAGAUGUUAGCUCCGCCUUGUUUGUCCCCACCGAAAGUGCUUUACAACCCGAAGGCCUUCUUCACACACGCGGCAUUGCUGGAUCAGGGUUGCCCCCAUUGUCCAAUAUUCCCCA